ACGGAGAAGUUGAUUUCGGUUGACUUCUUAGUGGCGAACGGGUGAGUAACGCGUGAACAACCUGACCUCAAGAGGGGGAUACCAACGAGAAAUCGUUGUUAAUACCGCAUAAGACCACAGCGCCGCAUGGCAAAGGGGUCAAAGGAGCAAUCCGCUUGAGGAGGGGUUCGCGUCCCAUUAGGUAGUAGGCGGGGUAACGGCCCACCUAGCCAACGAUGGGUAGCCGAGCUGAGAGGCUGAACGGCCACACUGGAACUGAGACACGGUCCAGACUCCUACGGGAGGCAGCAGUGGGGAAUAUUGGGCAAUGGGCGCAAGCCUGACCCAGCAACGCCGCGUGAGGGAAGAAGGUUUUCGGAUUGUAAACCUCUGUCGCAGAUGACGAAGGAAGUGACGGUAAUCUGUGAGGAAGCCCCGGCUAACUACGUGCCAGCAGCCGCGGUAAUACGGAGGGUGCAAGCGUUACUCGGAAUCACUGGGCGUAAAGGACGCGUAGGCUGUUUAGCAAGUCAGGUGUGAAAUCCUAUGGCUCAACCAUAGAACUGCACUUGAAACUGCUAGACUAGAGUAUGGGAGGGGGAGAUGGAAUUAGUGGUGUAGGGGUAAAAUCCGUAUAUAUCACUAGGAAUAUCUAAAGCGAAGGCGAUCUCCUGGAACAUUACUGACGCUAAGGCGUGAAAGCGUGGGAGCAAACAGGGAUUAGAUACCCU
rnacentral:rRNA from 1 species